rnacentral:rRNA from 1 species
AGAGUUUGAUCCUGGCUCAGAAUCAACGCUGGCGGCGCGCCUAACACAUGCAAGUCGAACGAGAAAGGGGAGCAAUCCCUGAGUACAGUGGCGUACGGGUGAGUAACACGUGGGUAAUCUACCUCCGAGUGGGGAAUAACCCCGGGAAACCGGGGAUAAUACCGCAUAAGUCCGAGAGGAGAAAGCGGCUUUGUGAAAGCAAUGCCGCGCUGGGAGAGGAGCCCGCGGCCGAUUAGCUAGUUGGUAGGGUAAAAGCCUACCAAGGCAGAGAUCGGUAGCCGGCCUGAGAGGGCACACGGCCACACUGGCACUGAAACACGGGCCAGACUCCUACGGGAGGCAGCAGUGGGGAAUCUUGCACAAUGGGGGAAACCCUGAUGCAGCGACGCCGCGUGAGCGAUGAAGCCCUUCGGGGUGUAAAGCUCUUUCGGCAGGGAAGAUGAUGACGGUACCUGCAGAAGCAGCUGCGGCUAACUACGUGCCAGCAGCCGCGGUAAUACGUAGGCAGCAAGCGUUGUUCGGAGUUACUGGGCGUAAAGGGUGUGUAGGCGGUUUGGUAAGUCUGGUGUGAAAUCUCCCGGCUCAACUGGGAGGGUGCGCCGGAAACUGCCGGACUCGAGUGCGGGAGAGGAGAGUGGAAUUCCUGGUGUAGCGGUGAAAUGCGUAGAUAUCAGGAGGAACACCGGCGGUGUAGACGGCUCUCUGGACCGUAACUGACGCUGAAACACGAAAGCGUGGGUAGCAAACAGGAUUAGAUACCCNNGUAGUCC